AUAGUGGAUAUCAUAGUGUCAUAGCUCUAUUUGAUCGUCUCCACCUAUACUCCAUCUACUCCUCAAUCUGUGCCUACACCUGCUACUCAAUCCCUACCUCCAUCUAAGCCUCGAGCAUAUGAAUAUCUAUAGUGCCAGAGCGCUCUUUAGCAUCUUGAGGUAUCGACGUACAUCAGAUAAGUGAGUGGAGGUGACUCCAACUCUAUAACUCCUCAUUGGACCA
rnacentral:lncRNA from 1 species